UCCAGACUCCUACGGGAGGCAGCAGUGGGGAAUAUUGCACAAUGGGGGGAACCCUGAUGCAGCGACGCCGCGUGAGUGAAGAAGUAUUUCGGUAUGUAAAGCUCUGUCAGCAGGGAAGAAGAAAGACGGUACCUGACCAAGAAGCCCCGGCUAACUACGUGCCAGCAGCCGCGGUAAUACGUAGGGGGCAAGCGUUAUCCGGAUUUACUGGGUGUAAAGGGAGCGUAGACGGCAGGGCAAGUCUGGAGUGAAAGGCAGGGGCCCAACCCCUGGACUGCUCUGGAAACUGCGGCGCUGGAGUACGGGAGGGGCAGGCGGAAUUCCUGGUGUAGCGGUGAAAUGCGUAGAUAUCAGGAGGAACACCAGUGGCGAAGGCGACUUUCUGGACUGUAACUGACGCUGAGGCACGAAAGUGUGGGGAGCAACCAGGAUUAGAUACCCGAGUAUAC
rnacentral:rRNA from 1 species